rnacentral:piRNA from 1 species
UCCACUCUGAUACCUGCU